rnacentral:rRNA from 1 species
UGAAAGAGUGCGUAAUAGCUCACUGGUCUAGUGGCUGGGCGCCGACAAUGUAGCGGGGCUCAAGUACACCGCCGAAGCCGCGGCACUCACAGUUUUGACUGUGGGUGGGUAGGGGAGCGUCGUGCAGCCGUAGAAGCAGCAGGGUGACCUAGUUGUGGAGGCUGUGCGAGUGAGAAUGCAGGCAUGAGUAGCGAAUGACACGUGAGAAACGUGUCCUCCGGAUGACCAAGGGUUCCUGGGCUAGGUUAAUCCUCCCAGGGUGAGUCGGGACCUAAGGCGAGGCCGACAGGCGUAGUCGAUGGACAACGGGUUGAUAUUCCCGUACCCGUGUCAGAUCGCCCCUGAUGAAUCAGUUGUACUAACCGUCCUGAAGCCGCGAGAUCACCUUCGGGUGACGAGCUGGUGGAUGCACGGGACCUCGGCUGGUAGUAGUCAAGCGAUGGGGUGACGCAGGAAGGUAGUGGGGCCAGUCAGUGGUUGUACUGGUGUAAGCCUGUAGGGCGAGAUCUAGGCAAAUCCGGAUCUCAUCCAGCCUGAGAGGUGAUGCGUAGCCGUUGCGGUGAAUUCCAUGAUCCUAUGCUGCCGAGAAAAGCCUCUAGCGAGAUCUGAUGUGGCCCGUACCCCAAACCAACACAGGUGGUCAGGUAGAGAAUACCAAGGAGAUCGAGAGAACUGUGGUUAAGGAACUCGGCAAAAUGCCCCCGUAACUUCGGGAGAAGGGGGACCUCGCAUGGUGACCGGAUUUACUCCGUGAGCUGUGUGGGGUCGCAGAGACCAGAGAGAAGCGACUGUUUACUAAAAACACAGGUCCAUGCGAAGUCGUAAGACGAUGUAUAUGGACUGACGCCUGCCCGGUGCUGGAAGGUUAAGAGGACCGGUUAGCCGUAAGGCGAAGCUGAGAAUUUAAGCCCCAGUAAACGGCGGUGGUAACUAUAACCAUCCUAAGGUAGCGAAAUUCCUUGUCGGGUAAGUUCCGACCUGCACGAAUGGCGUAACGACUUCUCUGCUGUCUCAACCACAGACUCGGCGAAAUUGCAGUACGAGUAAAGAUGCUCGUUACGCGCGGCAGGACGAAAAGACCCCGGGACCUUCACUAUAGCUUGGUAUUGGUGUUCGGUUCGGUUUGUGUAGGAUAGGUGGGAGACUGUGAAGCGGGCACGCCAGUGUUCGUGGAGUCGUUGUUGAAAUACCACUCUGAUCGUAUUGGAUACCUCAACCUCGGACCAUGAUCUGGUUCAGGGACAGUGCCUGGUGGGUAGUUUAACUGGGGCGGUUGCCUCCCAAAAUGUAACGGAGGCGCCCAAAGGUUCCCUCAGCCUGGUUGGCAAUCAGGUGUUGAGUGCAAGUGCACAAGGGAGCUUGACUGUGAGACUGACAGGUCGAGCAGGGACGAAAGUCGGGACUAGUGAUCCGGCACCGGCAAGUGGAAGCGGUGUCGCUCAACGGAUAAAAGGUACCCCGGGGAUAACAGGCUGAUCUUCCCCAAGAGUCCAUAUCGACGGGAUGGUUUGGCACCUCGAUGUCGGCUCGUCGCAUCCUGGGGCUGGAGUAGGUCCCAAGGGUUGGGCUGUUCGCCCAUUAAAGCGGCACGCGAGCUGGGUUUAGAACGUCGUGAGACAGUUCGGUCUCUAUCCGCCGCGCGCGUUAGAAACUUGAGGAAGGCUGUCCCUAGUACGAGAGGACCGGGACGGACGAACCUCUGGUGUGCCAGUUGUUCCACCAGGAGCACGGCUGGUUGGCUACGUUCGGAAGGGAUAACCGCUGAAAGCAUCUAAGCGGGAAGCCUGUUCCAAGAUUAGGUUUCUCACCACCUUGAGUGGGUAAGACCCCCUACAGACUAUGGGGUUGAUAGGCCAGAACUGGAAGCGCAGUAAUGCGUGUAGGUGACUGGUACUAAUCGGUCGAGGGCUUACCACACA